rnacentral:rRNA from 1 species
AGACCCGAAACCCGGUGAUCUAGCCAUGGGCAGGUUGAAGGUUGGGUAACACUAACUGGAGGACCGAACCGACUAAUGUUGAAAAAUUAGCGGAUGACCUGUGGCUGGGGGUGAAAGGCCAAUCAAACCGGGAGAUAGCUGGUUCUCCCCGAAAGCUAUUUAGGUAGCGCCUCGUGAAUUCAUCUCCGGGGGUAGAGCACUGUUUCGGCUAGGGGGCCAUCCCGGCUUACCAACCCGAUGCAAACUGCGAAUACCGGAGAAUGUUAUCACGGGAGACACACGGCGGGUGCUAACGUCCGUCGUGAAGAGGGAAACAACCCAGACCGCCAGCUAAGGUCCCAAAGUCAUGGUUAAGUGGGAAACGAUGUGGGAAGGCCCAGACAGCCAGGAUGUUGGCUUAGAAGCAGCCAUCAUUUAAAGAAAGCGUAAUAGCUCACUGGUCGAGUCGGCCUGCGCGGAAGAUGUAACGGGGCUAAACCAUGCACCGAAGCUGCGGCAGCGACACUGUGUGUUGUUGGGUAGGGGAGCGUUCUGUAAGCCUGUGAAGGUGUGUCGUGAGGCAUGCUGGAGGUAUCAGAAGUGCGAAUGCUGACAUAAGUAACGAUAAAGCGGGUGAAAAGCCCGCUCGCCGGAAGACCAAGGGUUCCUGUCCAACGUUAAUCGGGGCAGGGUGAGUCGACCCCUAAGGCGAGGCCGAAAGGCGUAGUCGAUGGGAAACGGGUUAAUAUUCCCGUACUUGGUGUUACUGCGAAGGGGGGACGGAGAAGGCUAUGUUGGCCGGGCGACGGUUGUCCCGGUUUAAGCGUGUAGGUGUGUGUUCCAGGUAAAUCCGGUUCACUUUAACACUGAGGCGUGACGACGAGGCACUACGGUGCUGAAGCAACAAAUGCCCUGCUUCCAGGAAAAGCCUCUAAGCAUCAGGUAACAUCAAAUCGUACCCCAAACCGACACAGGUGGUCAGGUAGAGAAUACCAAGGCGCUUGAGAGAACUCGGGUGAAGGAACUAGGCAAAAUGGUGCCGUAACUUCGGGAGAAGGCACGCUGACACGUAGGUGAAGUGAUUUACUCAUGGAGCUGAAGUCAGUCGAAGAUACCAGCUGGCUGCAACUGUUUAUUAAAAACACAGCACUGUGCAAACACGAAAGUGGACGUAUACGGUGUGACGCCUGCCCGGUGCCGGAAGGUUAAUUGAUGGGGUCAGCGCAAGCGAAGCUCCUGAUCGAAGCCCCGGUAAACGGCGGCCGUAACUAUAACGGUCCUAAGGUAGCGAAAUUCCUUGUCGGGUAAGUUCCGACCUGCACGAAUGGCGUAAUGAUGGCCAGGCUGUCUCCACCCGAGACUCAGUGAAAUUGAACUCGCUGUGAAGAUGCAGUGUACCCGCGGCAAGACGGAAAGACCCCGUGAACCUUUACUAUAGCUUGACACUGAACAUUGAGCCUUGAUGUGUAGGAUAGGUGGGA